rnacentral:lncRNA from 1 species
AAUGUUGUGCAAUAGCAGCUUCUUUAAUAGCAUUACGAAAUGCCUUCACAUCAGGGAAUAUUUGACCAACAACAAAAUUGUAGUCUUCCAUACAGUCAAGAUUGACUUAUCUAGUUUUUAGUUCUAACUUUUAUGCGGUAAUAAUCAACAACUCAAACCUGUAAUAAACUAGUAGCAGCGCCAUCUUCACUAUCAUAUAUUACAAAACAGCUUAAAAGAUUCCUCAAUAAAACAACCUGCAAUAAUUUGCAAAAAACACAUAUUAACAUAUCAGAAGGCAAUGGUUUCUGAAAACAGAGAAGCUAAAGAACAUCAAGCAAGCAAAACCAUAUAGAUAUACAAGGAUAACGUGCACACAUAGAUGGAUAGGUUUGUCAGAACAUAAUUUAGCCCUCUAUAUGUGCAUUUAUUCUUGAUUUUAUCUUUUCUUAUAUAACCUCUCAUCCAAUACAAUAUUCUCGAUUCCAUAAUACUUACACUUCUUGCUCAACANNNNNNNNNNNNNNNNNNNNNNNNNNNNNNNNNNNNNNNNNNNNNNNNNNNNNNNNNNNNNNNNNNNNNACCUGAAAACAUUUUAUUACAAUAAGCUAUAUAUUUGAAGUAACGUAGGAAAAUAAGUUAAAAUCAGUUUAUGGGCAUAUGACAAACUAUUUUUUGCAAGCUCUUCCAACCAAAUGCUUAUGCAAAAGCUUUGUCAAUAUCUUGUUUCUUAAUCGACAUUUUACCUAUUUCGCCGUUAAUGCAUUAAUUUUUCUUUUGUUUUUGUCUUAACCCUUCUAUUGCAAGGGGACGGGGGGUCCAGCGAUUCAGAGUUCGACCGGGAGUUAAGUAAAGUCUGUCUGACCAAUGAUUCCACCAAAUCUUUCCUAUACUAGCAUUUAUUUACCUUCACAUAUUUAUUUAAAAUAAGAAAUAAAUGCAACAUGGAUAUUGAUUUUAAUUUUUAAGUAAGCAAACAUAAAAUUCUCAACCCUGCAUGUUAGUGUUUAAUUAUUUCUAAUCAGAAAUAAAAUAGAGGACAUGAUACUCACUCUUGAGUAGAAUUAGAAACUUAAAGUGAAAAUGCCAUGUUGCAGCAGAAAAUGAACAAAGUGAAUAAAUAAAAACAAGUGUUCCAACAAUUACAUAUAAAUUAUUAUAAAUUUAUUUACAAAAGAAUAAAUAGCUCAAGAAACCCAGAAGAAUAAGUAAAUAAGAAAAUGAAUGAAAAUGGAGAUUUUAUUUAAUAUUAAAAAAAAAUGGGUUCAAGAAAAAUGAUAAUAAGAGGAUUGAAUUGAUGAUGGGAAAUGAAAACAAGGUAGUUUUGUGUGCAACGAAAGAGAAGAAAGAGAGAAGCAGUUGGUUACCUGAAGAAGCGAGGAGGAAGAAAGUGUUGAGAGAGAGAGAGAGAGAGAGUGAGAUCCAAUGGAGAGAGAGAGAGAGGGGAUAUGGUGG